rnacentral:rRNA from 1 species
CCUACGGGUGGCAGCAGUGGGGAAUAUUGGGCAAUGGGCGCAAGCCUGACCCCGCAACGCCGCGUGAAGGAAGAAGGCUUUCGGGUUGUAAAAUUCUUUUGUCAGGGACGAAGCAAGUGACGGUACCUGACGAAUAAGCCACGGCUAACUACGUGCCAGCGGCCGCGGUAAUACGUAGGUGGCAAGCGUUAUGCGGAUGUAUUGGGUGGAAAGGGCGUGUAGGCGGGAAUGCAAGUCAGAUGUGAAAACUAUGGUCUCAACCCAGGGCCUGCAGUUGAAACUGUAGUGCUUGAGUGCUGGGGAGGCAGGCGGAAUUCGGGGUGUAGCGGGGAAAUGCGUAGAGAUACGGAGGAACACCAGUUGCGAAGGCAGAUUGCCGGACAGUAACUGACGCUGAGGCGCGAAAGCGUGGGGAGCAAACAGGAUUAGAUACCCUGGUAGUC